GACGAACGCUGGCGGCGUGCCGAACACAUGCAAGUCGAGCGGGGAUUUAAGUGGAAGUUCUUCGGAAUGGAGAUUUAAAUUCUAGCGGCGGACGGGUGAGUAACGCGUGAACAAUCUGUCCCGGACAGGGGGAUAACACUUGGAAACAGGUGCUAAUACCGCAUAAGACCACGGCCUCGCAUGGGGCUGAGGUAAAAGGAGCAAUCCGGUUCGGGGUGAGUUCGCGUCCGAUUAGCUAGUUGGUGAGGUAACGGCCCACCAAGGCGACGAUCGGUAGCCGGCCUGAGAGGGUGAACGGCCACAUUGGAGCUGAGAGACGGUCCAAACUCCUACGGGAGGCAGCAGUGGGGAAUAUUGGGCAAUGGGCGAAAGCCUGACCCAGCAACGCCGCGUGAGGGAAGAAGGUUUUCGGAUUGUAAACCUCUGUCCUAUGGGACGAAGGAAGUGACGGUACCAUAGGAGGAAGCCCCGGCUAACUACGUG
rnacentral:rRNA from 1 species